GACGAACGCUGGCGGCGUGCUUAACACAUGCCAGUCGACCGGAGUGGCGAACGGGGGAGUAACACGAGGGUGAUCUGCCUUGCACUUCGGGAUAAGCAAGGGAAACUGGGUCUAGUACCGGAUAGUGCAGGGUGAGCUCGCGGCCAAUCAGCUGGGUGGUGGGGUAAUGGCCUACCAAGGCGUCGCCGGGUAGCCGGCCUGAGAGGUUGUACGGCCACAUUGGGACUGCGAUACGGCCCAGACUCCUACGGGAGGCAGGAGUGGGGAAUAUUGCACAAUGGGCGGAAGCCUGAUGCAGCGACGCCGCGUGGGGGAUGAAGGCCUUCGGGUUGUAAACUCCUUUCGACAGGGACGCGGUACCUGUAUAAGAAGCACCGGCUAACUACGUGCCAGCAGCCGCGGUAAUAC
rnacentral:rRNA from 1 species